rnacentral:rRNA from 1 species
UACGGAGGGAGCUAGCGUUAUUCGGAAUUACUGGGCGUAAAGCGCACGUAGGCGGCUUUGUAAGUUAGAGGUGAAAGCCUGAAGCUCAACUUCAGAAUUGCCUUUAAGACUGCAUCGCUUGAAUCCAGGAGAGGUGAGUGGAAUUCCGAGUGUAGAGGUGAAAUUCGUAGAGAUCGGGAGGAACACCAGAGGCGAAAGCGGCGACCUGGACAGGUACUGACACUCAACUACGAAAGCGUGGGGAGCAAACAGG